CAAUUGACAUUUGCUUGGCCCUGUAAAUGUGGGAUCCACCUUAGGUGGUCUAAAUAGUUCACAUUUUGGCUUCAUUGUGCAUAGAACAUCCCCACAAUGUUCCUCUGUCUUCUACUACAAGUUUUAUGUGUUUAUAUCGGAGAGCCAUUGUUUUAUGUUAUGUUUGCAGUUUUUCAUGCUGCACUUACACUUCCUCUGUUUUCUACUACAAGUGUCAUUCAUGUUGAGUUUGUAUUACCAUUUUUCAUAUCUUUCUGAUUUAUUAUUAUAUUUUUUGAUGAGUCACAUGAUUGAUGAUGUUUCUUGGCCCUGAAAAUUCAGAGGAGAUUUUCUCUGGAGGGUUUUUUUUUUUUUUUGGAAUGUUAUCUGGAAAAUCUCAAAGAAAAAAUAUUUUAAGAGUUUCUUAUACAUCUAAAAUUUAAAUAUAUAUUUAUAUAUUUGUAUAAUAAGCCUGUAAUUUUUACUAUUUCUCAUGUUAAUGUUGGCAUAGGAAUGUGAUAUUUAGAAUCUGGCGAGUUUUUGAAAAUCUUGUGAUGGUAUCUCAAGAUUUUAAAAAUCGUAUUUCUUGCACUGACCGGAACCAUAUAAUCCUCUAUGGCAUUUGUUCUUUCUCACAAUUUAAUUAUGAUCUGAGGUCAUAUAAAAUAUAUGUUUAGUCAUGUGAUAUUAAAUCCUUGUCAGAUCUCGACCCUUUGAAAGCUUUGAGCUGUUGGCCAGUGAUGAUAUCCAUUUACCAAAAUACCAUCUUUCGGGACUUAAUGGCAUUGAAGCCUUGUUGUUAUUCUGCAAUUUUGAGGCCUUUCAAUUUAUUGAUUGUAAAGCUUGUACUAUAGUUUCUGUUUCAUUAAUUUCCAAUAUGUUUGAUUAGUUUGUUUGAAACAUCCAGCCCUCUGUGGAUGUUAGUGUGUUAGAAAAAACAUUGUUUCAUUAUAAUUUCCAGCAGUUACACCAUCCAGGCAUUGCAAUACCUGGUAAUUGAAAUAUCCAGUGCAUCUAGAUGCCCCCAAUUCAAAUGAUCCUGAAGUAAUCUCACAUAGUUUUGUUUCUUAAAAUUCUAAAGACUUACCUUUAUAAUUGGUAAAAUUGGAGAAGCUAUAUUGGUGGGUAUUUUGAAAGUGGCUUAUUUCCCAGUGUACUCAUUAUGUCAAAGCAGAGUUCUAACUUACCUAAAAAAAUGCUAUGACCAGUUUGAUAUUUGCCAUGUUUCAGGACUUGCACAUUUGUGUAAGGACAAUAGAUUUUCAAUCUUUUAGAGUUUAUUAACUACUCCCAAGAGCAGUCGAAAUUGGCAAAGCUAACCCUUCUCUCCUUGUUCAGGUGAGAUUUGGUGUUCUAGAGGCUAGAGCCUUUGGUGUUUCUCAGUCUAGGAAACGAGCAUUCAUAUGGGCAGCUUCUCCAGAAGAGACACUCCCAGAGUGGCCAGAGCCAAUGCAUGUCUUUGCAGGCCCAGAACUGAAAAUCACAUUACCAGUCGAUGUACAAUAUGCCGCUGUCAGGAGUACAGCUGGAGGGGCACCCUUCCGUGCAAUAACUUUGAGAGAUACAAUUGGAGAUCUCCCACCUGUUGGAAAUGGAGCAUCUAAAGCAGAGAUGGAUGUUAAACUGUCUACUGGUCAAAUGGUGGAUUUGAUACCUUGGUGCUUGCAACAGAGCAGAGCUCGAUAAAUGCUUGCAUGAAUGGAAAGAAUCAGGUGUCUGUGAUAUGAAAGAAGUGGAGAUCAAGUUACCAUAACAUAAUUCAAAAUGUUCAACUGUUCCUUCUCCACAGCAUAGUAUUAAUUUGAGUUACUUGUAUGCCACAUAUAUCAACCAUCACAUCUUGCCAAAGUUGUUAUGCCUGAAAGCUACCUCUGCAGAAAUACUUUACAGUGAGAUUGAGGAAAGUGAACUCUCUGAUGCAAGCUCAACAAAUUUGAAAGAAGAUGGAUCUUCACCAUCCCUAACUAUGAUCAGAAAGCAGCUGACUGAGAGGAUCACUAUUCUGUCUACCUACUAUUACGGGUUUUCGAAAUGCAAUUUUGAGGUGAAGACUCUUUUUUGCAAUGUGCCCUGUUCCAAUCCCUCUGUCCAGUCCUGGACUGUCAUUGCUGCCUGCUGCAACUUGUUUCUGCAAGUGUCAAAUGUGUCUUUGAUUUUGGCAGCAUUAGCCCAAUGAUGUCAUUAGAGCAUUUAAGUGUGAUUUUUUCUAUUUAUGUGGUAGAACUGAUUGUGCCAAAAGCUUGCUGGAUUGUGAUUGUCAUUACCUUUAAUUUGGUUGUCUUUAAUGUUGUGAUGCUGGUAGUUGAUUUAUCUAGGUUGUUCAUUAGAAAGAUGCAGAAGUGCUGAAAGAUGCAAAGGCCUUGGUUGACGGAAAUUUGGUAAACAUCUUCAACCAAUUGCAGGCUGGUACAUUAAUGCUUGCUGAAUGAUUCAAUACAUUUUCCUUCUCAAAUUAUUUCCUGAAUAUAAUUUUGAAUACAACAUAUAUCUUUUACAUUAGAGGAAUUCUCAUCUCGUUGGAUAUUCGGGUCCAUUUUCAUAAACAUGGAUGGCACAUUUACUUCACAUGGGUUCAUUUGUUUCAAAGCUUAAAGAUCCUCGUGAUGCAUGUGCUGCAAUUGUUGCUGAAUCAUAUCGUCUUUUCUUCCAUGAUCCGGUUUACGAGUCUCAUUGUUCCUAUUUGGCUAGUCAUAUAUUUUAUUUUAAGUAACCAUUUUCAAUUCCAUGCCAGACAAGUGGGUCUCACAUUUCAACAAUCUAUUUAUUGGGCUGUUGAGUCUCACCGUGGAUGGAGAAUGCCUAAAAAAUCUCUCACAUUGGAUCUUUUUCAGUUGAAUAUGGACCAUUGUUCAAUUUCUCUUCUUAACUGCUUCUAUAGGCUACAAAUUGGCAGAUUAAGAUUGCCCUAUCAGUGGGAUUUUUAAGGCAUAGUCCAAUUGCUGAUGGGUAAAAUUGAUCAAUGGUAUGGAUUCUGAUCCACACAACCCACUUGUCUGAGUUGAAUGCCUGUGUAUACCAUGCAAAGAUGCAGGCCACAUAUCCUGUAAUUCCUCAAUUAUGGCAGUUAGCUUUAUUGAUAUUAAAUUUGGAUAUGCUGGCCACAUAUCCUGUAAUUCCUCAAUAACUGAUUAGAGUUUUUUGUCUCUUUCUUUUUUGUUCUUUUCUCACGAUAGGUGGGCCUAUCGUCUUUUGUUGGGUAGGCCCGCCUGAAAUAUCUCUUUGUACAUUACUUGCCAUUAAUGGAAAAGAGACAGUUCUUUUUAAAUAAAUAAAAAAAAAGGUUCAAUAGGCUUUGUGGGGGCCUUUUCUGUUGCUAGUCAAGGAGUAGCUCUUGGUGUUUGUCCCAUGCUUGCUACAGGUUCUUAAUACGCCUAUUUGAUGAAAAAAAAUGCAUUUCUUACAUGUUUUCUUCUACUUGCGGAUGUGGUAACGUCUUCUGAAUUCCACCCUACUCGGUGUGGUCAUUGGGCUGUAGAAUGGCUGAACUGCAAAGGAACAAUUAUUCAAUGGGGAAACUGAAUUUGACCAGCUUGACAAGAUAUUUAGGACUCUCGGCACACCAAGUGAGAAGAUAUGGCUGGAAUUUGUCAAAUUGUUGGGUGUCGAGGUACCCAGUUCAAGCGGGCGAUGCAAUUUGGAUGGCACCAUUUGUACCUCAAUGGUGCGUUAUCCCUGAUCUUAGAAGGCCCUUUAACUUCUAUCAGCGAGGUUUGCUUGGUAAGCUCUGAGUUGCCCCGAAUAACUUAGCUCACUACAUUUAUUUGCUUGGUAAGCUCUGAGUUGCCCCAAAUAACUAAGAUGAACUCUCUUGUUGGAUUUGGAUCUGUUGCUGCAUUUAUUAUAAGCACAGUUAGUUAAUUUGUGAAAGUUGAUAUUACACAUUAUCUAUGAUACGAGGACCACUUUUGCUUCUUCUUCUUCGUUUUUUUUUUUUUUUUUUUUUUUGAAAGAUGAAGCAAUUUAUUAGGCAAAGCAAAAAACACAAACAAAAGUAUUCAUUUGAUUUGUAACUUCUUUUAUUCUCUACUGUUGGUGUCAUUGCUGAACCCUGGGGGCAUUUAAAGGAUCUACAUCCAGCUAUAAAACUCUGUGAACCAGCGGCUUUAAUUGUUGUUGACGAUACGCCAGAAUAUAUAA